rnacentral:rRNA from 1 species
ACUGUAUAAUUAAAACAAAGCAUUGCGAUGGCCGCUGGUCGGUGUUGACGCAAUGCGAUUUCUGCCCAGUGCUCUGAAUGUCAACGUGACGAGAUUCAUCAAAGCGCGGGUAAACGGCGGGAGUAACUAUGACUUUAUUGGUGAGGCCCACUACUGGGGUGA